CAGUCGUACCGACGAGAAAUCAAUUUAUCGUGUGUUAACUUGUGGGCGUGCGUGAGUUUCGGCCUCGCUGUUUGCAUGUUUGUGCGCUUUGGGUGUACUUGCCCGUGUGUAAGUUAACAUCAAUUUUGGUGGUCAUAAAAUGGCUGGAGGAAUGUAGCUUCGAUCCUGUAUUGAAGUGUUAUAGCCUUCGGUAGAUGUGACGAUCGGGGAUUGAGGAUUGCAACGGAUACCCUUCGGGGCUACCUGUCUGAUCUCUGAUUGUUGCUCUGGUCGCCGAAGCUUGCUUACGGUUAUCAAAGUCGAUGGUCAA
rnacentral:rRNA from 1 species